UACGUAGGGUGCAAGCGUUGUCCGGAAUUAUUGGGCGUAAAGAGCUCGUAGGCGGCUUGUCGCGUCGAAUGUGAAAACCCACGGCUCAACUGUGGGCUUGCAUUCGAUACGGGCAGGCUAGAGUUCGGUAGGGGAGACUGGAAUUCCUGGUGUAGCGGUGAAAUGCGCAGAUAUCAGGAGGAACACCGGUGGCGAAGGCGGGACUCUGGGCCGAUACUGACGCUGAGGAGCGAAAGCGUGGGGAGCAAACAGG
rnacentral:rRNA from 1 species